rnacentral:rRNA from 1 species
GACGAACGCUGGCGGCGUGCUUAACACAUGCAAGUCGAACGGAAAGGCCCUGCUUUUGUGGGGUGCUCGAGUGGCGAACGGGUGAGUAACACGUGAGUAACCUGCCCUUGACUUUGGGAUAACUUCAGGAAACUGGGGCUAAUACCGGAUAGGAGCUCCUGCUGCAUGGUGGGGGUUGGAAAGUUUCGGCGGUUGGGGAUGGACUCGCGGCUUAUCAGCUUGUUGGUGGGGUAGUGGCUUACCAAGGCUUUGACGGGUAGCCGGCCUGAGAGGGUGACCGGCGGCUCGGGGACGGGGAGGCGGCCGGGCCGCCGGCGGGGAGCGGGACGGGGGGGUCGUGCGCGGGGGGCGUGAGCCGGCUGCGGAGGGGCCGGUUGCGGCAGGCGGGCCUGGCGUUGCUGAACCGUUGUGGCUGGGCACGAGGCGAGAGGGGCGGGGAGGGGAAAGGAGGAAAGGACGAUCUACGCGCCAGCGGCCGGAGUAAUAUGCGGAUGAGCCAUCGUCUGACC